rnacentral:rRNA from 1 species
AUUGAACGCUGGCGGUAGGCCUAACACAUGCAAGUCGAACGCGAAAGUCCUUCGGGAUGAGUAGAGUGGCGGACGGGUGAGUAACGCGUAGGAAUCUGUCCUGUAGUGGGGGAUAACGUUUCGAAAGGAACGCUAAUACCGCAUACGCCCCAUGGGGGAAAGCGGGGGAUCUUCGGACCUCGUGCUAUAGGAGGAGCCUGCGUCGGAUUAGCUAGUUGGUGAGGUAAAGGCUCACCAAGGCGACGAUCCGUAGCUGGUCUGAGAGGAUGAUCAGCCACACCGGAACUGAGACACGGUCCGGACUCCUACGGGUGGCAG